GUGGUGGCUCAGUGGUGGAGCACUUGCCUCGAAUGUGUGAAGCCCUGGGUUCGAUCCCCAGCACCACA
rnacentral:tRNA from 1 species